UACGGGGGGGGCAAGCGUUGCUCGGAAUUAUUGGGCGUAAAGCGCACGUAGGCGGCCUAGCAAGUCGGAAGUGAAAUCCCACGGCUCAACCAUGGAAGUGCUUUCGAAACUGCUGGGCUUGAGUACAAAAGAGGAUCGCGGAAUUCCCGGUGUAGAGGUGAAAUUCGUAGAUAUCGGGAGGAACACCAGUGGCGAAGGCGGCGAUCUGGGUUGAUACUGACGCUGAGGUGCGAAAGCGUGGGGAGCAAACAGG
rnacentral:rRNA from 1 species